GUCUAAGUAUAAGCAACUAUACGGUGAAACUGCGAAUGGCUCAUUAAAUCAGUUAUCGUUUAUUUGAUAGUACCUUACUACAUGGAUACCUGUGGUAAUUCUAGAGCUAAUACAUGCUAAAAACCUCGACUUCGGAAGGGGUGUAUUUAUUAGAUAAAAAACCAAUGCCCUUCGGGGCUCCUUGGUGAAUCAUAAUAACUAAACGAAUCGCAUGGCCUUGCGCCGGCGAUGGUUCAUUCAAAUUUCUGCCCUAUCAACUUUCGAUGGUAGGAUAGUGGCCUACCAUGGUAGCAACGGGUAACGGGGAAUUAGGGUUCUAUUCCGGAGAGGGAGCCUGAGAAACGGCUACCACAUCCAAGGAAGGCAGCAGGCGCGCAAAUUACCCAAUCCCGAUACGGGGAGGUAGUGACAAUAAAUACUGAUACAGGGCUCUUUUGGGUCUUGUAAUUGGAAUGAGUACAAUUUAAAUCCCUUAACGAGGAACAAUUGGAGG
rnacentral:rRNA from 1 species